rnacentral:rRNA from 1 species
AUGCAUGCGUGCAUGGAGCAGAGUGCUCAGCUUUGGACACCAACACUGUCAAGGCCAAAGCUCAUCACCAACACCAACGAGCUCCCUGAAGCUGUCGUCCUCGAGGAUGAGGGCGCCAUGGCCGGCUUCGUGGGCCUCCUCCGCCAGCUCGGGGACCUCGCACAGCUUGCGGUGGAGGUGUUCGACGGCCUGCACGACCAGGCCACGGCGGUGUCCGCUCGGGCGCGCGGCCUCACGCUGGGGGCGCGGCGGCUCGAGGCGGAGCUGACGCUCGUCGAGGAGCGGCUCCUCCGUCGUCGGAGUGCACGGCCCUGCUUCCUGCAGCAGCAGGACGUCGCCGUUGCCUGCAGCAAUUCAGUCUUCUCUUCAGGCAUUCAGUCAGAAGGCUUGUGUCGCUUCGCAGGCCACGGCUUGGAUCUGCGCCGCGCAAGUGCCAGGCCGGUGAACCACGGCGUGAUUGUGGUGGGAGGAACGAAGCCUCGUUCCAUCGCGGAGCACAUCCGGCGGUGCCGCGGGCCUCCGGAGUUGUCUACGCUUGACAAGUAUGACGCCGGCGGCGAGGGGGCGUGCCUGAAGCGAUACACGGACCCGUCCUUCUUCAGAGCCCAUUCUGCCAAGCAUGAGCUUUUCUUGCAGGAAACCAAACCAAAGCUUCAGAGUUCACACAAAUGCUCCAAAUUCAAAACAGACGCGUUGCUCGAUAUGCUCCGGCAACUUAAAUAUCGACACAUCAUCCGAAGAAUCAUCCAAAGAAUCAGUUUUCAUUCUUUUCACAAUCAGGAUUCGUCACAAGAUGAAGCAUCUGAAGCAGACGUUUUGUCUUCAUUGGAUUCGCCUGAAACAUCAAACACCAAAGUGCCAUGCCCUUCAGUAGGACCAGCUCGUUCGGGGCAUGGCUCUCUCCAGAUGCAGCUUCUACUCAUGCGUCUGACAUCAUACAAGAAACCAAUGCUCAUGGAUUUGCCAGCCAUGGUGCAAACAAGGCCGACGAGAAUGCCAACAUUGCGACAAAUGCUCGUAGUGCCCUUAUCGACUUCAUCGCCUCGAGGGUCGAAAGCUCGCCGAGGAAGCUCUCUGUCAGGAAGAAUAGUGAUCCUUUAA